CAUUACCGAGUUAUCCAACUCCCAACCCCUGUGAAUUAUACCUUUAAUUGUUGCUUCGGCGGGACUUCGCGCCCGCCGGGGACCCAAACCUUCUGAUAAAUAUAAGUAUCUUCUGAGUGGUUAAAAAAAAUGAAUCAAAACUUUCAACAACGGAUCUCUUGGUUCUGGCAUCGAUGAAGAACGCAGCGAAAUGCGAUAAGUAAUGUGAAUUGCAGAAUUCAGUGAAUCAUCGAAUCUUUGAACGCACAUUGCGCCCGUCAGUAUUCUGGCCCAUGCCUUUGCCCGAGCGUCAUUACGCCCCUCAAGUCCCCUGUGGACUUGGUGUUGGGGAUCGGCGAGGCUGGUUUUCCAGCACAGCCGUCCCUUAAAUUAAUUGGCGGUCUCGCCGUGGCCCUCCUCUGCGCAGUAGUAAAGCACUCGCAACAGGAGCCCGGCGCGGUCCACUGCCGUAAAACCCCCCAACUUUUUAUACCUAUCCGUUUUAAAGGGCCUGAUUCAGUAUUACGGGCUGA
rnacentral:rRNA from 1 species